UGUGUGCCAGAGUGCAUGUUUAUUUAGGGUGGGUGGUUGAGGAAGUGAUUGUGUAUAUAUAGUAAGUACAUGAGGUAGUGUUGUUAGAACCAGCAUUUGUUGACCAUCUCACAGCAGUCAGACAGAAGCCCAGUAUGAAGUUAACAAUUUCUCUCACAGAUAACACGCAGGUGCCAUCUCCCAGAAUUAUCCAGCCCAUAAUGUCCAGAAUAGGAGCUGUUCUAGGAAAGGGGUUGGUUAUUGAAUGUAAGGCAGACCCAGGCCUUCCUGAUGAAUUUGCCCUUGUCUACUGGCUGGUAAACGGCACAUUCCCAAAUGUAGCCUCCACUGAUGGCAGAGUAUCAGAAACAGAAGAGUCAGUUUCAGAGGACGGCAGGGUGAUCCAGAGGAGUCUGGUGUUUAAGAGCGUGACUGCAGAGGACUUCAGGUCCACCUUUACCUGUGUGAUAAACAGCCCAGCUGGGCUUGACCAAAGGACUUUCACACUGGCCAAUCACAAGGCUCUAUUUCCCCCUCCUUCACCCACUCCCAAAACCGAGGAGAGAACAAUGAGAAAAGACACAGGAAAAGGGAUCACAGGAAAAGGGAUCACAGGAAAAAGGAUCACAGGAAAAAGGAUCACAGCAAAACACACUAGCAAGAAAUGA
rnacentral:lncRNA from 1 species